AGGACAUCGACUGCCGAGCCCAGCAGAACUUGGUGGCUGCCCUAGAUGGCGUGUUUGACCAUUUGACAGAUGACCAAAGGAUACUAGUGCACAACUGGAUCCGAAGCUAUCUUGAGGCCCAUCUUCAGACACAAGGCACCACCUGUUCUGCUGAUGCUACCAGCAGCCUCUGGAUCACCCACAAUUACAGGCGUUUCCGGGCUUUUGCCACUAUGGAAGAAUUCUCAACCCUCAAUCUGAAUUUUGAGGGGUUUUCAGCGCUGACCGAGCUAUCUGUAGGCCAGCUGGCCCAGGUCAUGGUGCAGACAGGUGCGAUCGCUGAUGAAGCUACCAUUCUGAAAGUCAUGGGCCAGAUAAGUACAACCUUGGACCUGGCACAAUUUUUUAACAGCCUCAAUGCCCUAUCCCAAGCCCAGCUCCAAGGCAGCGUCCACGCGAGCCUCCUGCUCGGCCUGGCCUUCCGGCACCUAUCUCAACACUUUCCCAAGUUCCAGAGCACAGACUUUGCCUACUGGUUCCAGAGUGGCCUCCAGAAUGUACUGCAGGCGGUGAAUGAGACCUUUGUUGCCCAGAUCCCCCUGACCAUCUCAUGUGAUGCUUACCAGAACAUGUAGGUCCUGAGGCUGGCCGGGAGCAUUCGCUUACCCCUAUUCCCUGUCCCUAUAUCCAGGAGACAAGACCACCGGGAAAAUUGUUCAGGGGCCUCUUCUCCCUAGGGAGAGGGAUCCUUCUGAUGCAUCAUAGGGACAGCAGUUUAGGGCCAGAAGGAAUCUGAAAGGUCGUCUAGUCCAAUCCCUUCAUUUUACAGUUAACAAAAAUGAAUCUCAGAGAGGUUAAUUUUAUUUUCUACAUAUAAUCUAAUGGUUUUAUUUUAUUAAGUCACAGAACAAAUCCCCUUAAUAAAAGGAUUUGUUCUAUAAAACUCGGACUCA
rnacentral:lncRNA from 1 species